rnacentral:rRNA from 1 species
UACGGAGGGUGCAAGCGUUGUCCGGAAUCACUGGGCGUAAAGGGCGCGUAGGCGGCUCAUGAAGGCUGUGGUGAAAGUCCGGGGCUCAACCUCGGAUCGGCCGUGGCGACUCGUGGGCUGGAGCACUGUAGAGGCGGGUGGAAUUCAGGGUGUAGCGGUGGAAUGCGUAGAGAUCCGGAAGAACACCAGUGGCGAAGGCGGCCCGCUGGGCAGUGGCUGACGCUGAGGCGCGACAGCGUGGGGAGCAAACAGG